CGGCAGAGACAUGAGGUAACUAGUGGCGGACGGGUGAGUAACGCGUGGGCAACCUGCCCCGUACCGGGGGAUAGCAGUUGGAAACGACUGAUAAUACCGCAUAAGCGCACGGUGUGGCAUCACACAGUGUGAAAAAACUCCGGUGGUACGGGAUGGGCCCGCGUCUGAUUAGCCAGUUGGCAGGGUAACGGCCGUACCAAAGCGACGAUCCAGUAGCCGGCCUGAGAGGGCGGACGGCCACAUUGGGACUGAGACACGGCCCAAACUCCUACGGGAGGCAGCAGUGGGGAAUAUUGCACAAUGGGGGAAACCCUGAUGCAGCGACGCCCGCGUGAGUGAGGAAGUAUUUCGGUAUGUAAAGCUCUAUCAGCAGGGAAGAAAGGCCCGCAAGGGAGAUGACGGUACCUGACUAAGAAGCUCCGGCUAAAUACGUGCCAGCCGCGGC
rnacentral:rRNA from 1 species